ACCCCCUCACCCAAUACCAGCUAUGAUGCACCUGAUGAUUGCCUCCCCCCAAUGGGCGUCUUAUCCAGCAGCUCCCUGGGCGUGGGCUGCACACAUUGUUCCAGAGCAGAGAGCAGUCAAUGCAGCAGCUGCAUACACAGCAACGCCCAGCUCCCCAUUCAUCUGCACGCUGCAGCCCCUUCCAUUGGGGUCUCACACUGCUGUGGACAUAACACUUUUGCAUUAUUGAAACUUUUCAAGGCAGAUCCCCAUUGCCAGGAGCUGGAUGCUUCUUCUCCAUUGUGGUGGGUUCCCUGCAAGAAACCUCUGGUGAUUUAAAUUGUGGCCGUGUGGAGAGACGUAACUGGCACCUUGGGAAGGGGGGUCCUGGACAAUGACAGAGUACAAGCUGGUGGUGGUGGGUGCAGGAGGUGUUGGAAAAAGUGCCUUAACCAUUCAGCUUAUUCAGAACCACUUUGUUGAUGAGUAUGACCCAACAAUUGAGGAUUCCUACAGAAAACAGGUUGUAAUAGAUGGAGAAACAUGCUUGCUGGACAUCUUGGACACUGCAGGUCAAGAAGAAUACAGCGCAAUGAGGGACCAGUACAUGAGAACAGGAGAGGGAUUUUUAUGCGUAUUUGCCAUUAACAACACUAAAUCUUUUGAGGAUAUUCAUCAGUACAGGGAACAAAUAAAACGGGUUAAGGACUCUGAUGAUGUUCCGAUGGUGUUGGUGGGUAACAAGUGCGACCUCCCAGCCCGAACUGUGGAGACACGACAAGCUCAGGACCUGGCCAGAAGUUAUGGCAUUCCUUACAUUGAAACAUCUGCCAAAACCAGACAGGGAGUAGAAGACGCCUUUUACACAUUAGUGAGAGAGAUCCGACAGCAUAAGUUACGGAAGCUCAAUCCACCUGAUGAGAGUGAGAAAGGAUGUCUGAACUGCAAGUGCGUUGUAUCUUGACCAUGGAUCGAAGGUCACAGCCUGGCCUGAAUGUGUUCCCUUGUUCUACUCCUCCGGUUAAGUGCCAGAUACCCAGGAAUAUUGUCUUUGGAUGUGCUGAGUGUAUACCACAGGUAGUAUUAAUGAUGACAAGGGUUAAUGAUGUGACUGUUGUUGGCAGCAUAGUGGAUGUACAUCUCUCUGGUCCUUAUGGUACUAAUAUCAGUAUCAUUACUUAGAGGUAAAUAUGGAUCUUUGGAUGAGCAACCAGUCCUGCAUGCAAUUCCCAAUAUGUACCUGAAGGAGGCAUUUUCUAAAAUGGCACAUCAUUGACUAUGCAGAUCUACGGUAUUUGUCAUGCCCCAAGUAAGAUCAUUUUUUUCUUUGGCAUGUUAGUUUGAUUCAUGGACGGCACUGCAGAUUUUCUGAAUAUUUAAAAAAUUAAGUAACUUCAUUAUUUAAGUAUAUAGUAUGAUGUACCUGACAUGCUUGAUAAAGGAGCUCAGCUGCUGUGAAGUGUACGUGAAUUUUCCCAAGCCAUUAAAUCUAUAAGAAAUAAAAAUGAUUUGAGAACUGUAUUUUACUUAUUCAGUGCUGUACCUAAAUGCAUAUUUCCAUUUUUCUACACUUUUUAUUUUACUUUUGCCAUCACUGAGUCAUUUUAAACUUAAAGGUGUAUUCCAGGAAAAAAAAAUGUAUUUCAACUGGCUCCAGAAAGUUACAGAUUUGUAAAUGACUUCUAUUAGAAAAUCGUAACCCUUCCAAUAAUUAUCAGCUGCUGAAGUUGAGUUGUUCUUUUCUGUCUGGUAACAGUGCUCUCUGCUGACAUCUCUGCUUGUCUCAGGACCUGCACAGAAUAGAAGAGGUUUGCUAUGGGGGUUUGCUUCUAAACUGGGCGGUUCCCUAGACAGGUGUCAUCAGAGAGCACUUAGACAGAAAACUCAACUUCAGCAGCUCAUAAGUACUGCAAUGAUUAAGAUUUUUUUAAUAGAAGAAAUUACAAAUCUGUUUGACUUUCUGGAGCCAGUUGAUAUAUAAAAAAAUGUUUUUUCCCUGGAUAACCCCUUUAAUUGUAAAAAAAAAAAAAAAAAAACAUUGUAAUGCACAACCCUUGUUGAUCAACAAGGGUUGAAACUCCUAAAUGGUCGCACUGACUAAAGUCCAUUUGCAAUUUGCUGCAAAGCGAAGAGUUAUCUCUAAGCAAAUCUCCUUAUAAGGAUUAGUUUUCCGUGUGGAAUUCCAUUUUGAGGGAUUCAGGCAAUAGGAUUCUGCUGCACAGUGCACAAUAUAGAUUUUUAGCGGCGGAUAUUCUGCUGCUGAAAUCAUGGUGCCAAAAGAAUGAACUUGUCCAUUCUGAUAGCAGAAUCCUAUCCGCAGACAUUACUGUCUAUGGGGACUGCAGUUUCUGCGUGGUUCUAGCGCCGAGUGAUUCAGUCGGGACUGGCCGCACUCGGAAGCCCAGGACAGAAGUUUUCUGUCUGGCGGGUCGUAGACAGAAUGACAGCUCUGUUGCCCUCUCCAUGUUUCUUAAUAAAUAUGGCCUAGAUGGACAGGGAAGGUCAUGUGGAAAAAGAGAGGAAGUACUAGAAAAAGAAUCAACAAUGCAGUAUUUAUGGGAGUCGGAACAAGACAGAUUUACUAGUAGAUAGACACAGCUGUGGCAUAAAAUCCUUUGUACAUAGUGCAGGAAUAUUAUACCAUACCAUCAGUCACCUUCAGCCAGACAAUAAAUAAUUUCUGUACAUGCUGUAUACACUGAUCAGUCAUUACAUUGAUCAUCUUGUUACACUGGCACCUAUUAAGAGCGGGAUAUAUUAGUCAGCAAGUGAAGUCAGUCUUUAAAGUUGAUAAAUUGAAGGCAGGAAAAGCAGGAAAGUCUAAGGAUCUAAAUGACCAAACUGUAAUAUCUAGACAACUAGUUUAGAGCAUCUCCAAACCAGCAGGUUAUGUGCCAUCUUACUGGUAUGCAGUAGUAAGUACUUACCACAUAUAGACCAAGAAAAAUCAACCAGUGAACCAGCAACAGGGUCCUGGGUAUCCAGGACUCCAUAAUCCCGUGCAUCAGUGAAGGCUAGCCCAUCUUGUCUGAUACCACAAAAGAAUUACUGAAGCACAAAAUACUAAAAAGCUUACUGCUGGCUAUAAUAGACAGGUGUCAGAUCCCACGACAUCACAGCUUGCUGCCUUUGAGCUUUGGUUUUAAGGUGUCAGAUUCCACAGCAGAGAAGUCCAUCUCUCUGUGGCUAAGAGCUAUUUUGGCAGAUAAGGGGCAUCUACAAAAUAGUAGACAGGUGGUUUUAAUGUUGUGGCUGAUUACUGUAUACAGAUGUAGUGGCUGCCAACUGUAGUGGUAGUAUGCUAUGCUAUGCUAUGUCCAUAUAACUCAAUCUGUGCAAAGCCACUGGGCUAGUGCACUACAGUAUAGUUGGUGGACACCAGAUCUGUAGUUAUUACAUAAAAACAAUUCACCAGAGUAGGCGUUAUCCAUACAGCGAUUAAAUAUUGCAUCCAACCAUACUGUCACCUAAGAAAAUGCACUAUACAAAGAUACCUUUAUUAUACUGGCACAUCAUGGCUGCUACCACUGGGACCCCCCCCCCCCUCAAUCUCCUAUACAGGGACCCUGCACUGCCGUUGCUCUGCGCAGCUAAUGCUUGUGUCGUCAACCUGCAUGAACGAUGCAUCUCCGCCUCUCCCAUAGAGAUACAGUACAUGGAAGGGCCUGUUGGCAGAGGAGAGCUGAAGCAGAGCCGGGGCCCUGUACAGGAGAUUGAGGGGGAUCCCAGCGGUCUGACACCCCCCCCCCUGCAAUCAAACACUUAUCCCCUAUCCUGCGCGAUACAUAGGAUAGGGGAUAAGUUAUAUACCGUUGAAGAUCUCCUUUUUAAGCUUCUCUUACACAGGGCAAUUAUUGGCCAAAUAAACAUUUGUGUGAACAUUUCUCCCAAUUAUUGCCCCAUGUUAAAGAUGCUGUGAUCAGAUGACGAAUGCAAAAAAAAAAAUGUUCGCUGAUCAAAUUGUUGAUGCUGACAUAUAAAAUCAAAUUGCUGCUCCACUGUUCCUUUGCAUAAGGUUUGAUAAAUUUCCUCCUAUAUUUUUCAAUGAAUUUAAAGCCAACAAUUUUAAAUGCCAUGAUAAAUCUCCCCUAUAUAAAAAUUCCCUGCUUCCUCAGUACAUAAAACUGCCUGCCACCACCACUAGGGAGAGCUCUGUGCAUGGGAAUUCAUACAGCUGCCAUUGAAGGUUCUUUUCACACACUUGUUUGGAUACAUUUCCAUUUGAGUACAGAAAUCCCUGCAAUCACCCAAUGAAGAGCAUUGCCAUUUUGGCCUAAAUUUUAAAGGUUUCUCUUGAGGUCUGCAUUUUUCUGUUGGAUGGGAUAGCGAAAUUCUGUACUCUAUUCAAAUUGGCAGAUUCAGUAAGGAGCUAAAGAGCUUGAUGCAAAAUCUGCAACAGGGCCCCAUAUGCCAAUUAUAAUGCUGGUCUCUUAUGGGGCAGAUGUGCUUUGGGGCCCCCUUAGGCACCAGGGCCCUGAUGCGACUGCUACCUCUUAAGUGAUGCCCCUGACUGAAGUUCUCUAUUGGGUGGCUCGAGAAAAAUGUCAAAUAUUGGGCAUGUAGGAUUUUAAUUGCCCUAAAAUAAGCCGUCACCAGAGGUUUCUGGCAGGGGCUUAUCUCCACUUUCCCCAAAACACCCAAAAGCUUGGCCAAGCAAAGAGUUUGUGUGUAUGGGGUUAACAGGAUGAACUUGUAGCGUUUCCUAGCAAUUCUUUUGUAACCCGUAUAUCUCAAAUGAUUGUUUUCUAUGGAAUGUAAUACUAGUACAGGAGAUCUUUAGUCACGGACUGUGUUACAAGCAUCUCCAACCACACCCAUUCUGAACACUGCUUAUCCCGGGUACACUUCUGAAUUCUAGACCUUGGCACCGGUAUCGUAUCUGACUGCUUUUGUUUUCUGUCUGUUUUAUUCAUUCAUUAUUAACAAUCCUCUAUUGUGUCUUGACAAAGAGUUUAAUACAGGAGUGUCCUAUUAGAAAAGUAUAUCAAUUUGUUUACUGAUGAGUCAGAAGUUAAGUAUCUGCAGAAAGCUACCAGUCACAUGGGAACAUUCAGGGUGAGGCGUACAAAGUGCAGAUUAUUUAGUCCCAUAUAUAUUUAUAUAUAUAUAUUUUUUUUUACUCUUUGUACUUCUUGAUUGUACAAAGAAUGGACAUUUAUGGGGACAAUACUGUUAAAGUUUAAUACUGUGAUAAAGUUUACAACAUACCAAUUCCUCAUGUAUAAAAAUAGUAAAAAAAAUGUAGUAUAAUGACUAGUUGAUGGAAGUCUGUAAAUAGGUUAAGGAACAAGGUAAUUUCCAGCGCCAUUAUGUUUUAGACCUUGACAUGUUCGCAUGUAAAAUAAUUAGGUUUAUACAAGGUGGGGUUUUUCUAUGUCAUUAAGUCAAUAUAAAGACUUUUUUAUAUAAAGACUUUUCCAUUCUGAUCACAUAUGUGUACCAUUGGAUAGUUUAGACUGUAUACCGAAUCUAUCAUGUUUUGUAAAAGAGGAUGCUAAAAAGUGGUUGCCCAGCAGGUUAACAAGAUGUGAACUGAGCAUUACUCUCCUCCUUUUUUCCAUUCCAAUACAGUGGUCCCUCAACAUACGAUGGUAAUUAGUUCCAAACGAGCCAUUGUUUGUCGAAUCCAUCGUAUGUUGAGGGAUUCGUGCAAUGUAAAGUAUAGGAAGCUGUACUCACCUGUCCCCGCCGCUCGAGAUGGUGACCCCGGGUCUCCGCUGGGCUCUCCGCAGUCUUCUCCGGUCCUCUGCUGUCUUCUCCGGUCCUCUGCUGUCUUCCGCAAGGCCUUACUGGGCCUGCGUAGUGACGUCAUUACGCUGCUGCGUACGCCAUUCCUAUUGGAUGACGUGCGCAGCAGCGUAUUGACGUCAUCGGAGAGGGCCAAGAAGACACCGGAAGACCAGCGUUGGACCCGGAGGGCACCCUGGAGCAUCGUGGAGGGGUAAGUAAUACUUACAACACCACACGGGGAACAUUAAGCUUCUAUCCGGCAGCAGCUUAAGCAUUUGGCGCUGCCGUAUAGCACUUAAUGCGAUGGCCCCGACAUAAAAAAAGCAUCGUAUGUCGAUGCUGACAUGGACAUGUGAUGGCCUCUGAGAGGCCAUCGUAUGUCGAUUUCAUCAUAUGUCGGGGCCAUCGUAGGUCGAGGGGUCACUGUACUCACAAGGUCUCGGCUGAUCUCCACUUCCUGUUCCUGUUUCGACACACAAAAUGACUGAAAAUAGAUACUUGACCAAUCAUUAUCUUAGUAAGUAGGCAUUUGCUUCAUUGUCCUGCUGCAUGUGGUAAGCAUCACAUCCAUUAAAUUUAUUUUGGAUACUUUCACUAGAAAAGAAUGUGGCUUAAAAUGCAACAACCUGCACCAAAACUAUGGCACAAGAUUCUAGAAAAAGAAGCCAACCUAUGGGUAGUGUAAACCGCCUUUUUGAUCAAUUUGGCGCAUUCUUAGACUUUCUAGCCUGAACUUUCGCUGUAUAAGUAUUGGACUAUUUCACUUCAUCUGUUCUAGUGUUUCUUUUUAUAACUUAACUAUAGUGCAUAGUAAAAGGCAUAAUAAAUGAGAAAAGGAGGCACAGUUCAAAAUAUCGGAUAAGAUUAGUCCAACACGUGGGAGAUGAUACCCAGUGAAAACAGCAUUGCUACAUACAAUAGUGGGAUGGUGUGGGUGGUGUACGGAUAAAGCAAAACAAGAUGAAAUACGACCGUAAGUAGACAUGUUGAAUCCUGCGCUCACCGCAUCCACCGCUGCUUCAUGAUGCAGCGGUGGAAGUGGUGAGUGCAGGAUUGAACAUUUCUAUUUACUGUGGUAGUGCAUAGUAAAACUGUAUCAAAAUUCACAUUUAUGACUCUAGUUUGAAAUGGAUAUUCCAUUUCAACAGAAGUGCCAUAUACUUUGGGCUAACAGUAAGAUUCUCUGUUCUUUUUUUGCUGUCCAAUACUUGUAAGACUUCAAUGCUGCCUGAACCACCAGUCGUCAGGGAGGUCCCUGGUGGUUUUUGCCUGCCCCUAUGGCUGUGAUUGAUACAGGGGGGGGGGGGGGGGGGGGUAGGCGAACAAGUAUUUGAUGCACUGCCGACUUUGCAUGUUUUCCUACUUACAAAGCAUGUAGAGGUCUGUAAUUUUCAUAGGUACUCUUCAGACGGAACCUAAACAAAAAAUCCAGAAAACAAAAUUGUAUGAUUUUUCAAAAAUGAAUUUGCAUUUCAUUGCAUGACAUAAGUAUUUGAUAUAUCAGAAAAGCAUAACUUAAUAUUUGGUACAGAAACCUUUGUUUGCAAUUAGAGAGAAAACAUUUCCUGUAGUUCUUGACCAGGUUUGCACACACUGCAGCAGGGAUUUUGGCCCACUCCAUACAGACCAUACCAGAUCUUCAGGUUUCCGGGCUGUCGCUGGUCAAUACGGACUUUCAACUCCCUUCAAAGAUUUUUUUAUUUUGUUCAAGUCUGGAGACUGGCUAGGCCAUUCCAGGACCUUGAGAUGCUUCUUACGGAGCCACUCCUUAGUUUCCCUGGCUGUGUGUUUCAGGUCAUUGUCAUGCCUGAAGACCCAGCCAUGACCCAUCUUCAAUGCUCUUACUGAGGGAAGGAGGUUGUUGGCAAAAAUCUUGCGAUAUAUGGCCCCAUCCAUCCUCCCCUCAUUACAGUGCAGUCGUCCUGUCCCCUUUGCAGAAAAACAGCCCCAAAAAAUGUUUCCACCUCCAUGCUUCAUGGUUGGGAUUGUGUUCUUAGGGUUGUACUCAUCCUUCUUCUUCCUUCAAACACGGCAAGUGGAGUUUAGACCAAAAAGCUCUAUUUUUGUCUUAUCAGACCACAUGACCUUCUCCUAUUCCUCCUCUUGAUCAUCCAGAUGGUCCUUGGCAAACUUCAGACAAGCCUGGACAUGCACUUGCUUGAGCAGGGGGAUCUUGCAUGUACUGCAGGAUUUUAAUCCAUGAUGGCAUAGUGUGUUAAUAAUUGUUUUCUUGGAGACUGUGGUCCCAGCUCUCUUCAGGUCAUUGGCCAGGUAUUGCCGUGUAGUUCCAGGCUGAUCUUUCACCUUCCUUAUGGUCAUUGAUGCCCCACGAGGGGAGAUCUUGCAGGGGACACCAGACCGAGGGAGAUUGACUGUCAUCUUGAACUUCUUCCAUUUUCUUAUAAUUGCGCCAACAGUUGUUGCCUUCUCAUCAAGCUGCUUGCCUAUUGUCCUGUAGCCCAUCCCAGCCUUGUGCAGGUCUACAAUUUUAUCCCUGAUGUCCUUACACAGUUCUCUGUUCUUGUCCAUUGUGGAGAGGUUGAAGUCUGAUUGUGUGUGGACAGGUGUCUUUUAUACAGGUAACGAGUAAUGGAGAACAUGAGCGCUUCUUAAAGAAAAAAAUAACGGGUCUGGGAGAGCCGGAAUUCUUACUGGUUGGUAGGGAUCAAAUACUUAUGUCAUGCAAUAAAAUACAAAUUAUUUUUUUUUUAAAUCAUACAAUGGGAUUUUCAUGAUUUUUGUUUUAGAUUCAGUCUCACAGUCCAAGAGUACCUAUGAUAAAAACUACAGACCUCUGCAUGCUUUGUAAGUAGGAAACUGCAAAAUCAGCAGUGUAUCAAAUACUUGUUCUCCCCACUGUGUAUACAAGUGCCAAUCUCAAAGAUCAUUGCUCAUUUACUAAGCCUCUUACAUGGCUUCAAAUGGACUUCAAAGGUGUAGUGGGUCUUUUGCGGCGCUGACUCGGAACAGGCACAUCAG